GCUGAGGAUUCCAUCCGAACCAGAUAUUUCGAUUUGUCCUCCAUCCACUCCACCGCCAGUUUGACCCUCAAGAUGAAAAUAUAUUGUGCCUUCUUCCUGCUCCUCGUUCUGGCCGCAGUGUCUGUGGACAGUUUCGGCUGCGACGGAAACGCCAUCAGAAAAACAGCGCAACAAUGCCAGACGAAACUGGAAUUCUGCAAGAGCGACUGCCGCGAUGCGUGCCACGGGGAGUGUUUAAGUAAUUGCAGAGGGAGAGGGGAGGGUUGUAAUCGGGAAUGCGAGGAGAAGUGCGUAAAUACGCCCUGCCAAGACCAGUGCAGGCGAGUUUACGACGAGUGUAUCUACUGUGUUGGCCGUUUUCUUGAUCAUGCGUAGGUCCAAUGCUGAACUUAUCCUGAUUAUGGAGCAUGCGUGGUUGCCUUAAAUAUGAAUUUGCAUGAUUGUAAGGUCCAUGAGAAAUAAAUUAGAGUGUUUUAA